GCAACUGUUAGAUGAGGACACAAAAAAUAUCUAUUUAAACCCACAUAAGACUACAGCAUAAUAGGUGAUCUGAACUGCAGAUGCCUCGCACACAAAUCCAUCCAUCCGAGUCUGAAUGUGGAUGCCAGGGAAGAAAAGUUCAGCCCAAAGCACAGAUUUUCCUGGUUUUCCCUGGACAUCCAGCCCUUGGCUAUAGGCCCACUACGACGAUCAGAUUCCCUGAAGUGUCACCUCUUGACAGGGCAUCCAACGCUACCCUCCCUCCACUGUCGUCAACCCGGUUUCAGCCAGC